rnacentral:lncRNA from 1 species
GCCAGAAAGAAUCCAAACAUCCACUAACAGGAAGAAUACAUGAAUGAAUUGUGGUAGUCAUGUGAUGAAAUACUAUACAGCAAUAAAAGAGAAUAAAGUACAGCUAUAUACAUAAACUUGGAUAUAUAUCACAAAUGUACUGUCCAGUGAAAAGAGAAAGCUGCAGAAAAAAGCAAAACAAAAAACUUCCUGUGGCCAUGGAAGAAUGAAACAUAUAAUUUGGCUAAUAAAAGAAAGCGGGAUCCCAGAUAGCUAGAAAAUUUGGAGACACACACACAUAUGUGAUGGGAUUACAGGUGAUUUUUCUUUUCUUUUUUUGUCCGGGCUCUCAACUCCACUGAGAGCAUUCUCUUAGCAGUGACAGCCUUGAGCACACGUUGCCAUCUGUCAGCCCUCCACUAUGCAGUGGUCAAGCAGUGGUGCCUCUGCCUGCAGUUGGCACCCCUGGCCUCGCAGAAUAUUUUUGACAACUCCCUAGGGCAGCUGCCUGCCACGCUACAGCUGCACCUUUGUGAGAAGCACAGAAGUUGACCAGUUCCUCCAUGUGACACCCACCUUGAUAAAGCUUACCUGUGGAGAUAAAGGUUUCAAAAAGUUCAAGGUCUUUCGGGUGACAGUCAUCUUCCUACUUGUCUAUGAGGGCUUGAUCCAUGGCACCUAUGCUACCUUGCCAAAGCUGGCCAAGGAUCUGCUCAGCCAAGGACAGAGAGGAGCAGAGGCUUUCCAACCGGCAGCUUCCACAGGGUGGUGGUGGACUUCUCUUUGGGACAGUCACCUCUGACUAAAUUUAGCCUAGGAACAGCUACUUCCUUGAUCGGGCCACAUUCCUUAUUUUUAUCCUGUUCUGAUCAUAGAUACAUGCAUGUUCCACUCUCAUGUACAACCUCAGGAACAAGGACCUUAAGGGUGCACUGUAGAAGUUUCUAGGUGGCUGAAGAGACACAUGACUAAGGCUACUGAGAAGUAUGGCUCUGCCCUUGCUUCUUCCCUGCAUCAGACCCUGCUAUGUCUCUCUCCUGUCAAUGCAGCCAUCUAGUUACCCUGCCCUCUGAAGAGGGAGAUACCUUAGAAAGUUCAUGACACUAGGAGCCCACAGAUCGAACAUUUGAUGUACUCUGCAACUAAUAGCUAUGGAAGCCGGUGGAUCUCUCUAGCACUCCAUUUCAUCAUCUGUAAAAUGAAUAUAAUAACGGACAGGAACAUUGUAAGGAUCAAAAUAGAUAAUGCAUAUGGGAGUGCUUGGAGACAACUGCUCAGUGUAAUACUUAAUCAAAGAUGGAAUACUUUCUCUAAGGAGGUUUCUCAGUCUAUUUCACAUCCACCUCCCUCUAUUCAUAUCCUGAUGGAGCACUACUCCUUCAUUGUGCAACUAGAAUCCUCAUAAAUGAUGAAUGGAUGAAGGGAGACCAGAACAAAGGCAGAGAGAACGGGUAGAAACUUCCACUAUACUUUCCCUCACAUUCCACAUUCCCAUCCAUAGGCUCCCUCUUGAAAAUAUACGCAGAAUAUCCCAAUCCAGGAUAACACGCUCGCAUGCAGGUGACAAUUGAGUAUCUCAAUGUCCAACAAAAGAGAAACGAUUGAAGAUUGAAUAUAUUGUGGUACAUGCCUAAAUCCAACAGUUUAAAAAAGAUGAGGUGGAUAUAUUGAAACAGAAAAAAAUUUAAAGAUAUAGUAAAUGACCAAAAGGACAGAUUAAGGUUCAGAAAGAUGUACACACUGAAAAUUUGUUUCCUCUGGAGAGGGAAUGUAGUUUGGGAGAUAAGGGAUGGAGAGAUUUCAUCUUCAGGUGAGAAUGUUUUGCGGUACUGACGGAAUGUUAAAAAAUAAAAACACAGGAAAAAACGUUGGGUUAGAAGCGAGUUCUUGUCCUACGCCUGUCAUUAGACAAUCUGUCUUGGUUUCCUUGUCUGGAAGAUGAAAAGAGUAAUAAUAUUGACCUCAUAGGACUGCUGUGAGGACGAAUUAGUAUGCACUUGUUUAGAACUGUGCCAAGCACACAGCGUUACGUUUUUUCAUUAUUGUCGCUGUCACGUCUGUAAAACACGGUGUGACUCCAGGCACCGUUGACACAAAGACACAUCGAAGCACCAGAAGCAGAAGCGCCUCCAAAGAGACCACAAGUAAACAAAUAAGCGGGAUUAACCAACGGCCACAUCCAGGCUUUGGGUUGUCGAAGAGCGGGAGUGGCACGCGGGUAUCACACAAAGAGGACCCUGCGUUCUCAUUGGCGAAGAUUGCAGUCGAUUAGCGAGGGGCCGAAACCAGUUUACCGGGAGGUCCUUCAGUGCGUCGCUUGCGUAGCCCUUGUGCAUGCGUCUGGCCUUGUGGAGGUCCCGGCGUGCCCCGGGGCUGCUUCCGGCGUAGGGCGUUGGAAAGGUGGCGAGGCUCGUGAGUCUGUGUGUUGGAAAGGCUUAUCCUGGCGGGGCCGGCGGGGGCGCUGCGGCUCUGCCCUCUACCCUGCCGCUCUCGUCUAGUCCCCUGAGACCCCGACGCGAAGACUCGGAGUGGCCAUGGACUGGGACCUCCUCCCUCUGUCUGGGGAGGCGUGGGGACGAGGUGCCGGGUCCGUUCCGUCUCCAGUGAGGACUCCUUUGAGAGGCUCGGAGCCUCUUGCCCUGCGGUUUACGUAAUACAACGCUCGUUCGCCGAGCCUCUGUUGCGUCGUUGUGCGCCCUUGUGCCGGGCGGUGGCGACACGAAGACAAUACUGACGCGCUCCUUGCCCUCAGAGAGCCUCGAACUAGUGGAGGAGAUGAACCCGUCAGAAACAAAUUCUGGUGUUAGGUGGAGCAGGAUAAGGCACCCUAAGAGAGAGUUACAGACAGCGCCAAGGAGUUCAAAGCGUUAGGAGGCUUCAAGAAGGUGGUGGUGAUGCUAGUGAAGUUUUUAUCGGAGAGGAGUAGCUGGAGGUGAUUCUUCAGAGUUGUAGGAACUGAAUUUGGGGCCACAGAUCAGCCUCAGUUUCAGCUGAAUUCCUCUUUAUGGCUCACAUUCUCUCAGUUGGCUCAUGGCAGAAGCUGACCUCUCAGAGAGGUUGGCAUGUUGGAGAUCUCCCCCCAGCUCUUUAGACUCUCCAGUUAUCAGCAAGUUCUGGGCCUCAUAAGGCUUUUAUCCAGCUCCAGGAGCCCUGCUGUCGAUGGCUGCAGCCCAAGCUGCAUUCAAGGAGAAGAUCCUGGAGCUGAGGCAAUGUCUGACCCAUGUGCAAAGGGAAAUUCAAGGCUGGGUGAGAACAUGUCAUCCAGAAAGCACUGAAAAGGCAAUGAGCUUGGUGCGGGAUUUGGAGUGAGAACCCAGGAGACUGAGGCAAUUGUGAGAAGGGGAGUCUGUAAGAGAACAUGGAGAUCAGGUUGUAGAGGGCCUGGAUUAAGGGACAGGCAGCUGGAACAAAGUGGAGAACCUUGAAUUUGCUGUUGCUUCUUAAGCACUUGUUUAUUUUUCUGAUUGUUGUCUAUGCCAGCUUUCCUAAGAGAACAGACUUUCUUUCCUUUUUUUUUUCUUUUAACAUUGGUCUCUGAGCUAACAUCUGUCAGCAAUCUUCUUUUUUUUUCUUUUCUUCUUCUUCUUCUCCCCAAAGCACCCCCGCACAUAGUUGUAUAUUCUAGUUGUGAGUCCCUGUGGUUGUGCUAUGUGGCACGCCGCCUCAGUAUGGCUUGAUGAGCAGUACUAUGUCCACACCCAGGAUCCAAACCGGCAAAACCCUGGGCUGCCGAUGCCAGGUGCACGAACUUAACCACUUGACCACAGGGCUGGUGCUCUUUCCCUUUCACAGGAAGGAGGGUUGGUGGAGAGCAAGGCUGGACCCUCACCAAUCACUGAGUUUUCAGUAUAUCUCUGCUCCCAAAAAUGAAAGAAAGGAGAUAUUUGUCCUCUGUAGAACUCAGCCUUUCUCCUCUGCACAUUAUAUUCACCUAAGCUGGCUCUGUGAAUGAGAAUCUUGUAUUAACUAAAAUGCCUGAGCAAAAUGGCGGGGUGAGCUGACCUGGGAUUCUCUCUCCUCCAAAAUACAACAAAAGAUUGGAAGAACUGAAUUUCAGAGAACAAAAAUAAUGUCAGCUCAUUAGAGACCUACAAUUCCAAGAAGGCGGAGAUCAUAAACCUUGCUUUACACCUUCGGAGGCGCUGGAACGGUAGGAGAGAACAUCGCUCCCUCCCCUAGAGUCUGCGAUUGCUGCAGCAUGGGUCGGGAGGGAGCGGAGGAGGGGCCGUGCGACCAGGGGAUCAUCCAGGACUCCUGCCGCUAAUUCAGUGGAAACCCGCUGACGAGGGGAAAGCUUCCAUCCAGGGGACCCCAUAAAUCAAGGGCCUUGGGAGACCAGAGAACAGAACUGAUCUGAACCCAGACCGGCGCGUGUAACAGCCCCUCCCCCCCCAGCGAAGCCAGUGGGCACAGCCAUCUUGCCCCAAUGCGGAGAGCUCAUAACACUCCGCUCUCUACCCCCAUCUAGUGGCGACAGGCUGUAACUGCAACUGAAUUCUACCACCAUGAGAAAAAACCGCUCCUCUACCAUCCAGCAAUUUAUAAAAGCCCCAGACCAGAAGGAAAACAAUAAAAACACAGAAUUAAGUCCUGAGGACUUGGAAUUAGGUAAACUAAGUGAUAAUGAAUUCAGAGCAGCUAUAAUCAAAGAACUCAAUGAGGUAGAGAGAAAGAUAGAGAAACAAGCUGAGUUCUGGAGUUACUUCACAAAAGAGAUUGAAAUCAUAAAGAAGAAUCAAACAGAAUUACUUGAGAUGAAAAACACAAUGGACCAGAUAAAACAGAAUAUGGGUUCCCUGAAUGCCCGUGUAGACAACAUAGAGGAGAAAAUUAGCAUAAUCGAGGACAGACAGGCUGAAUGGCGCCAGACAGAGGAAGAAAGAGAACUAAGAAUUUAAAAAAAUGAGGAAAAUCUCCGAGAGAUAAUGGAUUCAAUGAGGAGUAAGAACAAAAACAAGGAUCAUAGGAAUUCCCGAGAAUAUGGAAAAGGAAAAUGGAGCAGAAAGUGUGCUUAACGAAAUUAUUGAAGAGAACUUCCCAAAUCUAGGGAUCAAUGGAGAAAUGUGUGUAGAGGAGGGUUUUAGAUCUCCUAGAUUUGUCAAUGUAAAAAGAGCUGCCCCAAGGCACAUAGUAGUAAAGUUGGCAAAUAGGAAUGAUAAGGAGAGAAUACUCAGGGAAGUAAGGGAAAAAAAGAGAAUAACCUAUAAAGGAGCCCCUAUCAGACUGUCAGCGGAUUUCUCUACGGAAACCCUACAAGCUAGGAGAGAAUGAAGUGAUAUAUUCAAAGCUUUAAAGGAUAAAAACCUUCAGCCAAGAAUACUCUAUCCAGCAAGAAUUUCCUUCAGAUAUGAGGGAGAAAUUAAAUCUUUUCCAGACAAACAAAAGUUAAGGGAAUUUGUAACUAAAAGCCCUCCAUUACAAAGAAAUCCUCAAGAAGGCUUUCAUACUUGAAAAAAGAAAAAAGGGAGAAAGGGGACACAAUCCACAGACUAGGGAGACCGA